AAUAGCAUAGAAAACUCCAAAUCAAUCUUAAAACUUGCUACUCAAAAAUUUCAACAACCUCAUCUUAUAAAUUUACAUGGAUCUUCUUCACAACUCUACUUCUUGCGUACUAUGGCUUAUUAGAAAGCUCACAAUCAAAUCUAGCUUUUCUUCAAAUAUCAAUACAAAAAAAUAAAAAUGUAAGAAGUGGUGUAGAAAAAUCCAAACCAAUAUUGAAUUUUCCCUCUCAAAAAUUCUAGCAACUCUUUUUCUACAAAUUUGCUUGAAUCUCCCUCUUCACAUCUCCAUUUUUACUUACUAUGGCUUGUUAAAAAGCUCAUAUAUAGAUUUAGCUUCUUUCUAAAUAUAAAAAUAAGAACU
rnacentral:lncRNA from 1 species